AAUGAACGUUGGCGGCGUGGAUUAGGCAUGCAAGUCGCGCGACAAGGAACCUUCGGGUUCUGGAGGAGCGGCAAACGGGGUAGUAAGGCAUCGGAACGUACCCUCUUGUUGGGAAUAGCCGCGGGAAACUGCGAGUAAUGCCCAAUAAUCCCUACGGGGCAAAGGUCCGCCGCAGGAGGAGCGGCCGAUGUGAUACCAGCUAGUUGGUGAGGUAAUGGCUCACCAAGGCUUAGACGUCUAGGGGGUGUGAGAGCAUGGCCCCCACCACUGGGACGUGAGAUACUGCCCACGACACCUACGGGUGGCUGCAGUCGAGAAUCUUCGGCAAUGGGCGGCAAGCCUCGACGACGCAACGCCGCGUGCGGGA
rnacentral:rRNA from 1 species